AUUGAACGCUGGCGGCAUGCUUUACACAUGCAAGUCGAACGGUAACAGGGUGCUUGCACCGCUGACGAGUGGCGAACGGGUGAGUAAUGCAUCGGAAUGUACCGUGUAAUGGGGGAUAGCUCGGCGAAAGCCGGAUUAAUACCGCAUACGCCCUGAGGGGGAAAGUGGGGGACCGAAAGGCCUCACGUUAUACGAGCAGCCGAUGUCUGAUUAGCUAGUUGGUGAGGUAAAGGCUCACCAAGGCGUCGAUCAGUAGCGGGUCUGAGAGGAUGAUCCGCCACACUGGGACUGAGACACGGCCCAGACUCCUACGGGAGGCAGCAGUGGGGAAUUUUGGACAAUGGGCGCAAGCCUGAUCCAGCCAUGCCGCGUGUCUGAAGAAGGCCUUCGGGUUGUAAAGGACUUUUGUCCGGGAGCAAAUCCUAGUGGUUAAUACCUACUGGGGCUGAGAGUACCGGAAGAAUAAGCACCGGCUAACUACGU
rnacentral:rRNA from 1 species